GACGAACGCUGGCGGCGUGCCUAAUACAUGCAAGUUGAACGCUAAAGCUUUAACUGGUGCUUGCACCGACCUAAGUUUUUAGAGUAGCGGACGGGUGAGUAACACGUGGGUAACCUACCCAUCAGAGGGGGAUAACACUUGGAAACAGGUGCUAAUACCGCAUAACAGAGAAAACCACAUGGUUUUCUUUUGAAAGGCGCAAUUGCGUCACUGAAGGAUGGACCCGCGGUGCAUUAGCUAGUUGGUGAGGUAACGGCUCACCAAGGCAACGAUGCAUAGCCGACCUGAGAGGGUGAUCGGCCACAUUGGGACUGAGACACGGCCCAAACUCCUACGGGAGGCAGCAGUAGGGAAUCUUCGGCAAUGGACGAAAGUCUGACCGAGCAACGCCGCGUGAGUGAAGAAGGUUUUCGGAUCGUAAAACUCUGUUGUCAGAGAAGAACAAGGAUAAGAGUGGAAAGUUUAUCCCUUGACGGUAUCUGACCAGAAAGCCACGGCUAACUACGUGCCAGCCGCCGCGGUAACAC
rnacentral:rRNA from 1 species